rnacentral:rRNA from 1 species
UGAGUUUGAUCCUGGCUCAGAUUGAACGCUGGCGGCAUGCCUUACACAUGCAAGUCGAACGGCAGCGCGGGAGCAAUCCUGGCGGCGAGUGGCGAACGGGUGAGUAAUACAUCGGAACGUGCCCAAUCGUGGGGGAUAACGCAGCGAAAGCUGUGCUAAUACCGCAUAAGAUCUACGGAUGAAAGCAGGGGAUCGCAAGACCUUGCGCGAAUGGAGCGGCCGAUGGCAGAUUAGGUAGUUGGUGAGGUAAAGGCUCACCAAGCCUUCGAUCUGUAGCUGGUCUGAGAGGACGACCAGCCACACUGGGACUGAGACACGGCCCAGACUCCUACGGGAGGCAGCAGUGGGGAAUUUUGGACAAUGGGCGAAAGCCUGAUCCAGCCAUGCCGCGUGCAGGAUGAAGGCCUUCGGGUUGUAAACUGCUUUUGUACGGAACGAAAAGGUUCUUUCUAAUAAAGAGAGCUCAUGACGGUACCGUAAGAAUAAGCACCGGCUAACUACG